rnacentral:tRNA from 1 species
GCCAGUGUUGCUCAGUGGAUAGAGCAUCAGCCUGUGGACUGAAGGGUCCUGGGUUCAGUUCCCGUCAAGGGCA